GGACGAACGCUGGCGGCGUGGUAUGACAUGCAUGUGAACGAGAAGCUCCCUUCGGGGAGUGGAGAGUGGCGCACGGGUGAGUAACACGUGAGCAACCUGCCGGGAAGCCCGGGAUAGCCCGCCGAAAGGAGGAUUAAUACCGGAUGUGGCCACCCUGCGAUUGCGGGGGAAGCUAAAGGAUUAUUCACUUCCCGAGGGGCUCGCGGCCCAUCAGCUUGUUGGUGAGGGUAACGGCCCACCAAGGCGACAACGGGUAGCUGGUCUGAGAGGAUGGUCAGCCACACUGGAACUGAGACACGGUCCAGACACCUACGGGUGGCAGCAGUCGAGAAUCAUUCGCAAUGGGGGAAACCCUGACGAUGCGACGCCGCGUGGAGGAUGAAGGCCUUAGGGUUGUAAACUCCUGUCAAGAGGGAAUAAGCAAGUGAAGGUACCCCUAGAGGAAGGGGCGGCUAAUUCCGUGCCAGCAGCCGCGGUAACACGGAAGCCCCGAGCGUUGUUCGGAUUCAUUGGGCGUAAAGGGUGCGUACGCGGCGCGGAAAGUCCGGCGUGAAAGGCAGAGGCUCAACCUCUGGACUGCGUUGGAUACUUCCGUGCU
rnacentral:rRNA from 1 species